rnacentral:rRNA from 1 species
UACAGAGGGUGCAAGCGUUGUUCGGAAUUACUGGGCGUAAAGCGCGUGUAGGCGGUUUGAUAAGUCAGACGUGAAAUCCCUCAGCUUAACUGAGGAAUUGCAUCUGAUACUGUCAGACUUGAGUAUCGGAGGGGACGGUGGAAUUCCUGGUGUAGAGGUGAAAUUCGUAGAUAUCAGGAGGAACACCUGUGGCGAAGGCGACCAUCUGGAAGAUUACUGACGCUGAGACGCGAAAGCAUGGGGAGCAAACAGG